rnacentral:rRNA from 1 species
UUCAGAGGUCCCAAGCGUUGUUCGGAUUCAUUGGGCGUAAAGGGUGCGUAGGCGGCGCGGUAAGUCGGGUGUGAAAUCUCGGGGCUUAACUCCGAAACUGCAUUCGAUACUGCCGUGCUUGAGGACUGGAGAGGAGACUGGAAUUUACGGUGUAGCGGUGAAAUGCGUAGAUAUCGUAAGGAAGACCAGUGGCGAAGGCGGGUCUCUGGACAGUUCCUGACGCUGAGGCACGAAGGCCAGGGGAGCAAACGGG